GUAAGCCCCUCACUGGCAUACUUUGUUUUGGCAGCUGAGCAAAAUAAAAAAUUGUGACCUUGUUUUACACACCAGGAAACAGGCCUGGGGAGAUACAGGGACAGCGCCACAGCCCGCAGGCCAGGGUGGAGCAGGGUGCGGCCAGGCAGCCCUCGGGGCCCAGCCGUGCCGGCUCGGGCUUGCCCGAGUGCCCAGGGCUGCUCGUGCCCCAGGGCCUUUGCUCUGCGGCUCCCGCUGCCGGAAGGGCUCCUCCCCCAGAUGCCCGCGCUGCACUCCCCCUCCCCUGCCCCGCAGGUCUUGGCUCAAGUCCUGACAGUCACCCUGUCUGAGGCAGCUUCCCCAUCUUGGUCUCUGCUGCACAACAGAAAGCCCUUGUCUUGACAGGCAGGCCUUGCACUGACCGAGUGUUGCUUGUGUGUCUCCCAGUCGGAACAAGAGUGUGAAGACCUUUCAUCUAUUCCACUCCUGUGUCCUGAUGCCCUGGCCAGAUAGAUAGUAGAGCCUAACCCUUUGCACACCCCCUUGGCUCAGGCCAGUGUCUGGAAGCGAGGUCUCUGUUGUUUGGAGGAUUCAGGACCCGGGUUAGCUGUCUCCUGGAAGGGCCUUUGACAUGCCCAGAAGAGGCCUCUGUGCUUGUCACCAGAUGCAUCUGAUCCGAGUCCCUGCUGGAGUCUCUCAUGCCCCUUCCCCGAUGAGCUGCUUGUUCUCCAGCCCCAGGACGGCCGAGCGGAGGUGUGCAGGCACAGAGCCACGUCUGUGAGCACACAGCCAGCUAGGGACCUCGGAGACCUCAGGUCUAGUCCUGUCGGGCCUGGGCGCCUGACUCCUGUGAGCACACCAUCAGCGAGGGAUGCAGGGAUCCUCAGGUCUUGUCAGUCUGUCGGGCCUGGGCUCCUGGCUCCUGUCUGCAGAGACGACCCCCCCCCCUGCCCCCCACGGAGUCUUUUGAUCUCCUGUGCUGGCAGAGACCCCCUCAAGUGAGCCAGGCUGAGGUGGAAACUCAGAAGCCCCAAGGGAAAAGGUUUCCUCCCCCAGCUUGUGCUGGAGUUCCAGCUUCCAGGCAUUGAUCUUUGUGACUCCGAUGCUGGAGCCAGCUGAGAACAGCGGGGUGGUCCCGUGGUAAGGUCCUUGUCUGUCACCUGCUUGGUGCCAGGCCAAGUGGGAAGUUGGCUGUAGUGUGCAGGGCUGUCUCAGGUUUGACUGGGGUAGGUGGGGUCCCUACCUCAGGAGGCAAUGAAGUGUGGUGAGGCGGCUAGAUGGAGGGUGGUGGGCUGGGGGGUUCCCAUGGGCUCUAAGUGCACUGGGCAAGGCCAGCAGCUGGCUGAGUCCGAGAGCCAGACCCUCACAGGGCUCGGUGCCCGCUGUGGGGUGCCUGGUGCCAACCCUGUGGCACAGCCUGGCAAGCAGAGGGCAGGCAGGGAGGGAAGACCUAGGUGGGCCUCCAGCUUAGUGACCUGCAGCACCCCUCCCCUGGCUCUUUUUAGGAAAUGAUUUCAACUUGCUACAAACUUGAAAAAUGGAACAAAGAAUCCAGUAUCCUUCCCAGAGAUCCAAUCUCAACACCUUACCUAACCACAGUGAACAUUUACAACCAUGAAAUUAGCAUUGAUACAAUAUUGUUACCUAAUCUGCUGAGCUUUGUCCCACUAAUAACCCUUGCCUGACCCCUCAUCACACUUAGUUGUUGCUCCUCCAGCUCUAACGGCUCCCCAGUCUCUCUCUGACUUGAGUGAUCUUGACAUUUUUUGAAAAGCACUGGCCAUUUUGGGGGUAGAAGGACCCUCCUGUGAGUUUGCCGGCUCUUUGUGAUUACACAUGGGUUUUGCCCUUCCGGCUUUAGUAUGUCUUUCUCGGGAGGCCCUCCGUAUGUCCCUUUACUGGCGUUUUUCCCUCCUUUUUUUUUUUUUUUAAUCGAGGCAUCUUGAAGACACAAACCGACACGUCUUUAUCCGCUCUGAUGGUGGACGUGCGCACCUUUGCUGGGGCGCCUGGCGGAGCGGUCUUCCCAAUUGUCUCCUGCAAAGUCACCGCCUUGGCCUUGCAGCCAGGGAAUGUUGGGGGGUGGCGCGGGGGGGGGGGGGUGGUGCUCUGUAACGCCGUCAAACUGACGGGCCCCGCCCGGCCCUCGCUCUCGGCCCUCGCUCCGCACCGCCGGCUCUGGUUUGCAGGCGUCUCCGUGCCGGGGGAGCUCCCGCCUCGGCAGGGGCAAUCCUGGCUCCUCGCGCAGGACCAGCAAGCCGAGAAGGGCCGGACAGCGGCGCCCUCCUGACUUUGGCCCCCUUAUCGUUACGCUCACCGCUUUCACACGGAGAGCGUGGAGGUCGGCGUGCCUGCGGUCUCGCUCAGACCCAAGGCGCGUCCUGAGCUCCCGGCGUCCCCCGCGCUCCCU
ensembl:lncRNA